CCUACGGGUGGCAGCAGUGGGGAAUAUUGCACAAUGGGGGAAACCCUGAUGCAGAGAAGAAGCGUGAGCGAAGAAGGAGGGAGGUAGGUAAAGCUCUAGCAGCAGGGAAGAAAAUGACGGUACCUGAGGAAGAAGCUCAGGCUAAAUACGUGCCAGCAGCCGCGGUAAUACGGAUGGAGCAAGCGUUAUCCGGAUUUACUGGGUGUAAAGGGAGCGCAGGCGGCCUAGCAAGUCUGAUGUGAAAUGCCGGGGCUCAACCCCGGAGCUGCAUUGGAAACUGUGAGGCUGGAGUGUCGGAGAGGCAGGCGGAAGUCCUAGUGUAGCGGUGAAAUGCGUAGAUAUUAGGAGGAACACCAGUGGCGAAGGCGGCCUGCUGGACGAUGACUGACGCUGAGGCUCGAAAGCGUGGGGAGCAAACAGGAUUAGAUACCCUAGUAGUC
rnacentral:rRNA from 1 species